rnacentral:rRNA from 1 species
AGUGGCGGACGGGUGAGUAACGCGUGGGUAACCUGCCUUAUACAGGGGGAUAACAGUCAGAAAUGACUGCUAAUACCGCAUAAGACCACAGCACCGCAUGGUGCAGGGGUAAAAACUCCGGUGGUACAGGAUGGACCCGCGUCUGAUUAGCUGGUUGGUGAGGUAACGGCUCACCAAGGCGACGAUCAGUAGCCGGCUUGAGAGAGUGAACGGCCACAUUGGGACUGAGACACGGCCCAAACUCCUACGGGAGGCAGCAGUGGGGAAUAUUGCACAAUGGGGGAAACCCUGAUGCAGCGACGCCGCGUGAGUGAAGAAGUAUCUCGGUAUGUAAAGCUCUAUCAGCAGGGAAGAAAAUGACGGUACCUGACUAAGAAGCCCCGGCUAACUACGUGCCAGCAGCCGCGGUAAUACGUAGGGGGCAAGCGUUAUCCGGAAUUACUGGGUGUAAAGGGUGCGUAGGUGGUAUGGCAAGUCAGAAGUGAAAACCCAGGGCUUAACUCUGGGACUGCUUUUGAAACUGUCAGACUGGAGUGCAGGAGAGGUAAGCGGAAUUCCUAGUGUAGCGGUGAAAUGCGUAGAUAUUAGGAGGACAUCAGUGGCGAAGGCG